UAUUAAGGAGAGAAAAGUCCUAACUUAUAUAUAUGUAUUGUAUAGAAAAUGAAUGAAAUGUCUAGUCGAUUUUUUAUAAUCUAAUUUUGAGUCCUAGUAACUUAAAAAAAAAAAAAAAAAAAAGCCCUUUGGCUUUUGAAGCCUCUGUGAAGGCCGUAGGAGACUUUGCAUCCACUUUGCCCCGCACUCCUAAGUAUGAGCCUCUCCAUGCUCCUUACCUCUCCGCUCCAGCUACCUGCAGACCAGCAGCCUUUUAGCCAGUGACCGCCACCUCACUGAAGAGGAGCGCAAGCACUUCUGCCAGGAGAUACUUGACUUUGCCAGCCAGCCAUCAGACAGCCCAGGUCAUAAGAUAGUGCUACCCAUGCAUUCCUUUGCACAACUGCGAGAUCUCCAUUUUGAUCCCUCCAAUGCCGUGGUCCACGUGGGCGGCGUUUUGUGCGUUGAGAUAACCAUGUACAGCCAGAUGCCUGUGCCUGUUCACGUGGAGCAGAUUGUGGUCAAUGUCCACUUCAGCAUUGAGAAAAACAGCUACCGGAAGACUGCGGAGUGGCUUACCAAGCACAAGACGU
rnacentral:sRNA from 1 species